ensembl:snRNA U4 U4 spliceosomal RNA
AGUUAAAUAUAAUAGCAGUAUCAUAACCAAUGAAGUUAAUCUGAGGUGUGAUUAUUGCUAGUUGAAAACUUUUCCCUCAGUACUACCCCUUUGCCUACUACACAGACACAGGAUAAUGUCUUUUACCUUGAUUUAG